CCACGGAACCGGGCGGCGGGACCGCCGGCUGCCGCCCGUGGGACCGGCGAUCCCGGCGGGCCUGGGGAGCACGCCUCGCCAAACUGCAAAUGAGGGGCAGGGUGUGCUGUCACCGACCCCCCUGAGCGCGCCUCUCUCCAGGGAAAGGAUGGCAUCUCUUCCUUUUCCCACCUAGGGAGGGAGACACGUUUUCCAGGUGCUGUGUGAGUUUUGCCUGGUCUUUCAGAGGAGGGACGGAAAGCUGGUGGUCUCCCGUCUGGAGCACCCCAGGCUCGGCACCCUAGCUGGACCACUGGUCCCACUGUGGGCCACAAUGCCCUGCUAACAAAAUGUGGUGGCAUGGCCAUGGUGCUGAAUGGGAGUCUCCAUGGCAGGGGAUUGUCUGGCAGGGCAGGACCUGGGGACCAGGAGGCAGCCCUUGUUCUUCACAGGGAAGGCCUGGAAGAGGGAGGGCAUUUUGCCAGACUGCCCAGCUUUCAGGAGUUCAGGUAUGAAAUCAGGAAGAGGAGAUGUGCUUCCUAAGAAAAAGUGACUGGAUUUGUUCUGGGCUUCCUGGGGGAUUCUGGGAGAAAAAUGAAGAGGCUUUGCUGCUUUAUGAGGAAGGUGCCCAGGAAGUCUCCAGCUGUGACAAUUUGCAGGGGAACCAUGAGACAUCCCAAUGGGGAGAGUCCCACAUGUCAGGAGGUGUUUGGAGGUGACCCAGGGCAGAAGGCAACCAAGUGGCCUCUGACUCAAGGUUUGAGAGGGACCUGUGAGUUUUGCUUUCAUUAACCUGUGAAUCCUGCUUACAGCAACUGUGGCUGCCAGGCAUCCCUGAACAGGCUUUCCCAGAAAGGCCUGGGAAAGAAACUGUGUCCUCUUGAGUUCUCUGGCUGGGAACAGCGAACUCAUCCCUCAUCCAGGCAGGCUCAGGUUCUCAUGGUCCCUGCCCUAGACUUCCCAAUCACCCUACUGCUCACAGUGAGUUUCCCCCUGUUACUAGGAGAAAAGGUCAAGGGUAUGAUUUUUUUUUCUUUGCACCCUCUCAUGGUGAAUGUGUCUUUCUGCCUGUACCUCAUGGCAUCACCCUCACUCGCCACGGGAAUGUCUGCUCACAUCCAACAUGCCCACAGAUGUCAGGGGGCAACUUGUCUCAGUGAGACCUCAUGCCAGCAAUCCAUGUUGUGCCAGCAGCCUCAGUGCAGCAGCGGGACUCACUCCAUGAGCAUGUGCUCCCUGUGCAGCUUGCCCUGGCCACGCUCACAGUGCUGGCCCCCACAGCCAGCCACAUGCUGCUGUCACCUCUCCUGGUGCGUGUCUGAAGGAGCUGCUCAGUGACCUUGCCCAUCUUAUUCCUGACUUGGUUAGAAAUCAGAAUGCCUGUUUUCCCAGACACACUGCCCCGCGCUGGCACAGCAGUUUUACAAACACUCCAGUGCUUGUGGGUGCUGUUGGAUAUAGUUCUGUGUUGGCAGCGUGGAGGUGCAUCUCCCUUCCCUCACCCAUGUUUCUCCCUUGGCAUUUGUCCCUUGAUUCUUUACCCCGAGGAUGUAUCCCCUGAGCUCUUUGCCAUUGGUCUGGCAGCAAUUCCAGUCCCCUCUGACUAUCUUGCCCAUGGAGAUGGUUACCAGUGAGGCCACAGGGCUGACUGGGUGGUGGAUGUCACAGAUCACAAUGGGCUCCACCUCAUUUUCUCCUAAGCCUGAGCCAGUCUCUCAUUUCAGAGAAGUCUGUCCAUUAACUCUCAGGGCUGGAGAGUACAAUUAUGUGUGCUUGUGUAGCUUGAAGCUUUCUAACCAGCCCAAGUAAGUGGUUUUCACCUUUUCAUCCAGUCACUUCCUGUAAGAAAGGACACAUCCGUUCUCUUUGAGUACAGAUCUCACAAAUGAGUACAAACCUUGCACAUGCCAGCACUGGCUUUCUUCUGUCCUCAUUCCUGGAGGAGAAUCUCCUGGCCUGCACGUACCUUUGGCUCACCAAAAUCAUAUUUGAAUGAAGAAAAUCUUCCUUCAGGAGAAGGAGCUGUUGUUGGAUGGACUUCAACUUUGAACUUGAUGUGGAGGAGAGCAGGAAUGCUGUCAAUGCUAGGCAUCAGUCUUUCUGUUGCAGACUCCAGGCAUUAUUGGUUUGGGCCCAGUUCCCCCAAGUUCUUUGCAAAGUGGCUCUUCUGAGGUGACCCUCUGGGCAGGUGCCUUGCUCUGCCACCCUUCCUCUUUGGCUGGAUGGCUCCUUGCAUGUCCCAGCCAACCAAGCCUGCCAUGCAAAGCUGCCCUCUCCAGCCCUGUGCACAGAGCCCCGUGUGAACAACAGGCUCUGAGCGUGCUGUCUCACAGCCUCCAGUGCAAAGGUGGCCCCAGAGCACUUCCCAUGGAUUUCCCACCCACAGGUGCCACCACCCUUCUGGAAGGAAGCAGUCAGCCUUGUUUUGAGCAGCUGCCUUGCAAAUGCAUCCUCUCUAGCCCGCAGCUGCCUGACCCAGGACAAAGCAACCUGCGGCCUCAAGGAGUGAAACACAGCAUUGAAAACUGAAAGUGGUGCACACAGAGCAAGUGAUGCUCUCCACUGACUCCUAUGUCAAUCACCUUUCUGCUUAUCAGUCUUUGUCAGGAACAGGAACGAUCUCUAUAGUUUCUUUUCCUGCCUGGUGCUGCCUUUGCAUCUGCUGCAGAGCAGAAAUUCAAGGAGAUGGAUGGAGACCUCGGUCUGCUUGAUGGAAAUACCUCUACUGUUUUCAGGUUGGGUAAAGGUCUUUCAUUAACAAAUCCUACCUGCUGACCCCAAAGCAUGUGAGAUCCUCUCAGAGACUGUGCCAGCAUUCCUUGUACUUUUGUGUUGCUUCAAACAGGAAACAAUGCUCUUGGAAAAGCUUCUAGCAGCUCCGGAACAGCUCCCUGCAAACUCAGUGAGCUAGUGGCAUUGCAGAGCUCGGAAGUGCUCUUUCCACAUGUGCUACCUCUUGGAAGUCAAGGAGAGAUUCCUAGGGCCGGGAAGAGAGAGUGUAUGCCACCAUGUGGCAGCAGAUUCCCAAGUGUGGAGCUCAGGAGAGCUUCAGGCAGGCCCAGCUCAUAGCUCAGGCUGGAGGAGGGCCUGGCCCUCGUAGGCAGAACUUCAGCAAGGAGUUGUGACCUUCUGUGCAUGGACAGGGAGGUGCUGUACAGGCACCCUGUCCCAUCUCCAAAGGCACCAGCCACCCUCUCCAUGAAGGUAAGAUUUAUUCUGCAAUUGAGCAGCCCUGGAAUUUACCGUGGAAGACAAUAUUCAUCUGAGAAUUGUAUUCCAGCACCAAAGACCCAUUAUUCACAGUGACAGCCUGCAGAGCUGAAAAUAAACAAAGAACAAAGUCAAAUCAAGUAGCUUUGGACAGAAACCACCCUGCCUCAAGGCAGAAGGCAACUUCUAAGCAAGAGAGACAACUUCUGAGGAAGAAAAUCUUUUGGAAGCACAUUAUCCCAUAUUCCACUGAUGCAAAGCUUCUUGCUUUUCUCUCAGAGGCAACCAAAAACCAGCCUGCCAGAAAACUUUGGGCGAGAUGAGGCUUAAUUUGAUCCAGGCUGUUCUUAUCUCCUAUAUUUUCAUUCCAAAAAAAAAAAAAAAAAAAAAGAAAAAAAAAGAAAGAUGAAAAAUUUUCUCAUCUUUAAGACUCUGCAUUGUUUGUAGCCUGAAUUUAUGCUGCAAUGAGGACUUUGAGUUGUCACUCAUAUCAACAGGCUCCUAACUCUAAACUCAGCAAUGGCCACUCAAGCCUUAGCUUCCCUCACUAUUGCAGGCUGCCUGAGGAUCUGUUGAUCCCCUAGGCUCUGUACUGCCCUCCUAGACAGCAAAAUGCCUAUUUCUGCUAUUUCUGCCUCCUCAACAGCUCUUCCAGGGUGUUGCACAGUAACUGCUAAUCUGUAUUCUAUAAAUACAGCACUGUCAGCUUAAAACACAUUUUAGUAUAGAGAGGAGUAGCAUGGGGACAGCUACCUAGUUGGGUUACUUGGGUAUCUCAUUCUCUUAGUGCUACACUGUAAUUUCAAGGUGGGAAUGAAGCUAUUGACAAGUCUGUGGUCUUUUGUCGUAGACAUCCAGGCAGUCCAAAGGGCCCUGUUCCAAAAAACUCGGAGUAAACUUGUCCUGAGCAUCUGGACCCAAGCAAGCUACUGCUAUAUUAAGGUUUAUUUUGGUUGCUGGGCCCUGAUCGCCCCAGGUGUUUUCCAAAAUCCCCUAUUCUUUGCUUUUCAGAGGAAAUGUGUCUAAGAGGCUAGACCAUGCUGGCAGACCUCCAAGGCCUUGUGCUGAUUUGCCCUGGUGGAGACUCCAACCCGUAGUUGCUGUCUGGGAAAACCAGAUCCGUGUGUCCUUGAGAAGAGCACACAGAAGAUCAGAGUGUGGACUGGGGGAAAAUGGACCAGAUCGACCCCUUCUGCUUCCCUCUGUGCUUGUGCAGGGUAGAGCAAAGCAUUGACUCAGGAGGCAGGGUGAGCCUGUGGAAAUCAGGUGCAGCACAGAGGAGGAGGCAGAGGAGGAGGAGGAAGAGGAGGAGGAAGGACAUGAGGUCUUCAGUAUCGGAUGGAAAUGUGGAGCCUCAAAGGUCAUCCAGUUGGGCUCACACUCCAGCUCACACUGGAUGGAGAAACAGGCCUUCAUACACAGCAACAAACACUCAAAACAAAUUAAAAAGCACUUAAAAAUAUAGUCCUGCCUGGCUGCUCCAGAUGAGUUUUGUAGUGAAUCUGAAGGUGCCUUUUUCCUGGAGUCCUGUGCUCCCAUUAUGGUGCCCACGUGCUGCAUGGGAUCAGGGCUUGGUACUGUGGGUCACCAGAGAGAGUCACCUUAAUCAGCUUAAACCACAGCUUGACUCAGGCCUCAAACUGUGCCACCCAUCCCAAGGGAAGGUCUCUGAAACAGAGAGUGACCGCCCUGAAAAUUCCUCCUGUGGUCACUUUUGUAAAGUCCUGCUCAUCUUGGAGAGGGACGGGGAAAGAAGUUAGUGGCAUUCUGUCUCUAAAAAGCAGAAUGUUUCUGCUGUGAUUCAUUUUGUCUGGGGAUUUGGCCUGUUUUGCUAAUUUGUGGGAAGCCAAUUCAGCAGACUUGGUAACCAGUUGUUUGCUGAUGCCACCUUUGGGAUGGAAGGCUGUGCCUUCCACCUGGGAGAUGUGGGGGAUACUAUUGCCAACACAGAUUGGGGCACAGUGUCAUUUCCUCCAUAAUGUCCUUGGAGAUGUGUAGAGAUGGGCCUCUUGUGUCUGUGGAGCUAGACUGGCCACUUUUUUUACUUCUUCUUUGAAAGAGCAAUAAACACCUUUGGACCGCCCCAUGGAGGACUGAAUUGUAGCACACUGUCCUCAAUUUGCCUUCUGCUCCCACUGCCUGUUGUCUUUGCUCCUUUGUGGCAUGUGUGAGGAUGGAUAUGUCUGUCCCAAGAAAUUGUCUGCAGUCAUUUUGCAGUCCCUUUGACAUCUGACAGACCACUUGUGGCCCACAGACCACAGGCUGAGAAACUAUGUGUGGGGUGAUGUCUACUGAGUUGCCUCCCAGGACUCAGGUUCUUUCAAACACAUAAAAAGAAGCAGUUUCUGUCCUGGAAAAGACAUUGCCUUGGGCAGACAAGCAUGGGGGAGUCAAGGACAGGGACACCCCAACCACCCAGCUGGUCCUCCAGCCCAGAGACCUGACUCUCACAGAGUUACUGUCUGAGCAGCCCAGGUGAAGAUUUAGGGGGUCCCACUUGCAGCUGUGCUGUGACAUGAGAUGGGGAUGCUGGCAAAGGGCAGGCAGGUAGGGAGGCACAGUGUGGGUCUGUGGUGGGAGGGAGCAGAGGGGGAGGAGGGAGCUCCGCCAGCCCCACCACACUCCAGCAAUCAAAGCCCAGCCUCUGUAAUUAAUACUAUUUAGCUCAGGUUAGUAGCAGAGGAAAAUGUCUCUUGUCAGCCUGGCUUUGCCCACUGGACCUGAUUUAGCAACAUGAAAGCAUUUUUUCUGAUUAACUGUUCACUGAAGGAGAUAAAAGAGAUGACCAUGAAAUGUUUUCUUUAAUGUGAUGAAUGUAAAGGGACUGGUAGAGCUGGAAAGGGUGAGAGGAGAGAAGAGAGAAUGCUCCGACAGCAGAUGGGGCUGGGGUGGGAAAAGGGUGUAGGGCAGAGCUGGGGGGCUGGGAUGGAGGGGGCUGUGAGGCAGGGGCAGAACUGGGGGGUGUCCAGGACUGGGCUGGCAGGGGCCCCAGGAUGGGAAUGGGUGGAUAACCAGGAGGCAGGAGUGGAGGCAGUAGUAACCGAAAUAUUUCUGAAAGGAGAGCUAUGGUAGCAACUGUAACUGUUACAGAUGUAUAUAUAGAUAGAUAUGUAUAUAUGCAUGAGGGUUUCUAAGGCUUUUAUGAAGUUGCAGUCUGAAUGCCAAAUUUCACUGCUCAUCUCUACUACUAAGCUAAAAAAAUGUUGGUAGCUAGGAAACAAAGUGAAGUAGUAAAGCUCGAUUUCUAACAUGAUGUGGUUAGGAUAUUUUGGGGAACAGUGAUGCUGCUCCUACUUUGUAAAACCAUAGCAGGGGGUUGAAAAGCUAUAUUUAAAAGCUAAACACAGUUCCCUACCAUUCUUUGAAAGAGAUUUCACUGUCAUGUAGUCCAAACUGGCCUUCGAUGGCAUUCAAUGUGCUUUUUAACUAUGUGCUGUUGACGGCUUACAUUUUAAACUUUUCUCAAGAUGGAUGGAAGAAUGAAGUUGGUCUGACCCACUUAAGAUUAGUUUCUGGUUUCUGUGUGUUGGGUGGGAAUAGGGUGGGUACUUGCCAGAAUGAAAAAAUACUAAUUUGGAAGAGAGAGGGAGAAAAUACAAAGAGCACCCCCAGUCAAGUUAGUUUUUGCAGAAAAAGAUUUUGCCCUGAUGUUUUUUAUGUAUUUCAGGAUAGAAAGGGAGAGUGUGUAAAAUAAGAUGAUUUCAACUGAGAGGUUCUUAUUGAAAGGUAAUUGUGCACAAGGUAGAGGAUGAAAGUCCUUAUAGAUAAGUACCCAGUCACAAAACCUGAUGUGUCUUGUGCAAGCUGAUGGUGCAAAAGGGGAUGUAACUUUACAGGCAAGCCAGCAAUCAUUAUCUCCCCAGGAUGUGCAGUGAGGGGCUCAGACAUGCACAAAGGCAUCGGCCGUGUUCCACAUUAGGUUGGCUGCUCCGUAAGCAGAUCGGAUGUCCUCACACCAAGCUCCCCUUUUGAGUCAGCUCAGCUCCUCUCCCAGAGGUCAGAGGAGACACAGGAAAGGUCCCUGAGCAGGCAAUGGAAACACUGAAAGGGAGGUGAGGCUUGAAUGCAGAUAAGAGGAGUGAAAACUAAUUGAUCUGAAAAAGCACUGUCAUUGUGGGGUAUAAAAUAAUGACUGGGAAGUCCCUUUCAUUUACUGAGAGGCAAUAAUAGCAGAGGGCAGAUGAUAACACUGAAAGGGUGACAUUUUAGGGCUCUUUAAUCUAGGAGACAGAGGCAUAACAAGCAACAGGGGUUGCAGUUUCAAGCCUGGCAAAUGUAAAUAAGAAAUGAGGCAUGUUGCACAGGGGGUGCUGACACACAUUGAAACAGAGCAUGUGUGGAGGUUGUGUGGGGCUCACCAUCUCUUAAUGGCUUGGUGUCCAGACAGGCUGAUUUUCUGGGAGAUAAAGUUACUGAGCUCAACUGCAGUGAUGGCUGAAAUUCAGUGGCCGAGCAUUAGUCAGGGUAAGAAUUUCUGCCUUUUCUUCAUUCAGACCGAGACUUGACUGAAAAAUACCAUACUCACCCAAGCACCUCUCCCACUGGGACUGUCCCCGAGUGGGGUGAGUACAGUCACCUUCUUAAGGGGCUGUGAUGUUUGCAUGGCCAAGAAAAGUGUGCAGGCCUUUACUGCCUGGGGGAAAGCGGGAUUAGUCUGUGUGGAAGCAGCUGCAGGCAGUGGUCUUUGAGUGGAAGCCUGAGACCAGGAGGAGUCAAUGGCCAGGAGGAGUCAUUGUCUGCAGGAAAAUGCCCACUGCCACACACAUGGACCUGGGACAGCCACUCUGAGAUGGGUGAUCCCUCCGACAGCUGUGCUGACAGCCUGCCUUUGUGCAAAGACAAAAUGCUUGAGCCUCUGCACCCCAUAUGUGCUCCCACCAGCUUGUGCCAGGUCUGCUCAGAGACACCAUCCCCACUCCCUGGGAAGCCCUUCUGUGAAGGCUCUGCAAACAUUUCAGGACAAUCCUCUGCAUCCUUUCUUUACCCCGCUCAGAAGUGUUUCCAAGGCUCAUCCAUAGCAUCCAAGUGCAUGUUUCCCUCAGACCUUUCAGGAUCUCCUCCUGUUGUGUGCCCCUAGGGCUCUGCCACCACCCUCCAUGUGGUGCCCUAUCUAACCAUGCCUCCUGGUCCCCAAAUCUCCAUUUCUGUGAAAUCCCUAAGCCCCCUGUAGGCUCAGCUAAUGUGCUGUGAUCCAUUCUGCUAAUCUGCAAGCAUCUGCCCAGGCUGCCAGCACAUCCCAAGGUUUUGGGGUAAGGGAAGUCCAUGCCAAAACCCCUACCUUGCCUCUGGCAUGCAGAGUGGGUCAAGUAGUGCACAGGAGGUAAAAAAACACCUGCCAGUGAUGACUAAAUAAAAAUGUUUUCCCAGAAAGUGGCAAAUCUCUCAGCCCGGAGUCCAUCAUUGUAAAUAAUUUUUGUUUUAAAAGCAAACAAACAAAUUGGUGGAAGUCUCCCGGCAGCAGGUGCUGGCUCCGUGUGAAAUCCAGCCUUGCAGCCCAUGGUUCGCAGUUGUCUGUUUAUUCUAUCUGCUAUUUAUAGCUGGUCAAACCUUUCCAUCCUGCCUCGUGUUUCCUACUUGCUCUAUCUUAUUAAUUAAUGUAUUUACUGUCAAUAUUUUAAUAAAACAAACAAAAAAUUAAUGAAAAAUAUUGCCUGUGGCCAGGGUGCUGCUGGCUUGAGGUGUUUGAGAGGACACAGGCCAGCUGGGGAAGCCUGUGCUGUGAUGGAUGUUGGAGAAAUGCUGAGAUGGGAAAAGAGGUGGUGUACAUCUAAAGCAUGGCACAGAGCUCAAGUGUGACAGGACUGGUCUGUCUUCCUGCUGUGAACCGCAGCAUUUUCACUGGCUUGGUCUGCACCACCCCUCAUUUUGUGCCAGCUGUGGCUGUUGUCCCUGGUCCCAGCUAGGGCAGCCCCUGUUCCAGCUGGGGGUCCCUGGCUAGAAGGCAUGACAGAUGUGGGGAAAUGACUGUUGUGUGGGUCCAAGGGGAAGCUGUUUAACAAAGAGACUGGCUGGCCGUGGUUAUGGAGAAGUUUGGCUGGGACACAGAUGUUGCAGGCGAUUGCAGGCUGGUGGCUGCGGCUGCGUGGUGAAGGUAGACAGUGAUCCACAGCUGAAACCACUCUGGAAACCUGUGACAGAGGAGCAUCCUGAAAUCUUUGGGAUAGGUGACAUCAACCAACAUGGAAUAAUGAAAUGAACAAGCAGUGAACAAAAAAAAAAAAACCCACCACAUGCCACUGAGCCUCACUUCAUCAUCCACUCUUUUGCAGAUGUCCUUUGUCCUGCUGCUACACGAGCCAUGACUGCAGCCACC